CAGUGACAACAUGUGCGCUUUAAAAGAAAGGAAAAGAGAGUUGAGCAUCAGAUGAGGGUCGGGAACAACGUCUGCAAACAUAACUGCGCCUCAUUUUUCAGCAGGCUGCUGCGCCUCUUACCUGCUUUUUAAAUACGCAUACUUUUUUACAAGCACGGCAGAAAUACGUAAAUUAUAGAGUUUCUGCAGAAUUAAGCCACAGCCCUUUAUUGCGCUCAUCUUCAUCACAAUAGAGGGAAAGCUCGUCCUCUCGGAGAUUCACUCUCAUCAAAGAGUUGACACGACCUUCUCCAGGACCAGGACCUUACGGAAACAAGAUGGAACGAUUCCCCGAAUAUCUGAUGAAAUAAAUCCCUUUCUGCCACAGUCCCACCCUCUGUCUCCUCGUUUCUCUUUUGCAAAGGCGCUCCACUACCAACCAGCAGACUCUAUAAUCUCUCCAGACCCGAGAAAGAGGCCAUGAAAGAAUACAUUGAGGAUUCUUUGGCAUCUGGGAUCAGUCGUCUGUCCACCUCCCCUGUUGGCGCCGGAUUUUUCUUCAUGGGGGUGCAGAAUGGAUGAGCAAAGAUGCCCCUUCCCACCUCCCCUUAAAACAGAAGAAGACUACAUUCCGUAUCCAAGUGUUCAUGAGGUUCUGGGGCGCAGUAGCCCUUUUCCCCUUAUCCUACUGCCCCAGUUUGGAGGAUACUGGAUCGAAGGAACUAAUCAUGAGCCUAAAGACCCACCAGAGGCCAAUCAUCCUCCAUGUUCAACCUCCCACAUUAAAUUGGAGACAAACAGCACUGCCAAGAUCUACAGGAAGCAUUUCAUGGGCAAGGAACACUUUAAUUACUACACAGUGGAUGCUGCCCUUGGCCACUUGGUCUUCUCAAUGAAGUAUGAAGUAAUCGGGGAUCAAGAGCAUCUGCGCUUGAUGCUGCGCACAAAGUACAAAACCCAUCAUGAUGUGAUUCCCAUUUCCUGCCUUACUGAGUUUCCCAAUGUGGUCCAGAUGGCAAAGCUUGUUUGUGAAGAGGUCAACGUGGAUAGGUUUUACCCCGUCCUCUAUCCAAAGGCAUCAAGGCUCAUUGUCACCUUUGAUGAGCAUGUAAUCAGCAACAACUUCAAGUUUGGAGUCAUUUAUCAAAAGUUUGGCCAGACAUCAGAGGAGGAGCUGUUUGGGAAUAUGGAAGAAAGUUCAGGCUUUGUUGAGUUCCUGGAAUUCUUGGGCAUGAAGAUUGAGCUUCAUGACUUUAAAGGUUUUAGAGGUGGCCUCGAUGUCACACACGGGCAGACGGGGAUGGAAUCGGUCUACACAAAUUUCCAUAAUAAGGAGAUUAUGUUUCAUGUGUCCACCAAACUGCCUUAUACGGAAGGAGACUCACAGCAGCUGCAGAGGAAGAGGCACAUAGGCAACGACAUUGUGGGCAUCGUGUUUCAGGAGGAAAACACUCCUUUUGUACCGGACAUGAUCCAAUCCAACUUCUUGCAUGCGUAUGUGGUGGUGCAGGUGGAGAAUGCAUGCACAGACAAUGUAACAUACAAGGUGUCAGUCACAGCAAGAGAUGAUGUACCUUUUUUUGGACCUGCUCUACCUGACCCUGCCAUCUUUAAAAAGGGCCCAGAGUUCCAUGAGUUCCUGUUCACCAAGCUUAUCAAUGCAGAGUACGCCUGCUACAAGGCGGAGAAGUUUGCAAAGCUGGAGGAGCGUACGCGUUCGGCUCUGCUGGAAACAUUGUACGAAGAGCUGCACAUCAACAGUCAGUCCAUGAUGGGUCUGGGUGGGGAAGAAGAUAAGCUGGAGAACGGAGGUGGAGCAGGAGGGGGCGGCUUUUUUGAGUCCUUUAAGCGGGUCAUCCGCAGCAGAAGCCAGUCUAUGGACGCCAUGGGUCUCAGUAACAAGAAGGCACACACAGUCUCCACUAGUCACAGUGGCAGCUUUACCCAUAAUCCCGCAGAGAGUCCCAAAACCCCAGGGAUUUCAUUGCUUGUCGCGGGGAAAAGUCCCAGUAAAUAUGGACGCCGAGGCAGUGCCAUAGGGAUAGGAACAAUAGAAGAGUCAUUGAUCAUUCCUGGGAAAAGCCCAACCAGAAAGAAGUCUGGACCUUUUAGCUCCCGCCGCAGCAGUGCUAUUGGCAUUGAGAACAUCCAGGAGGUCCAAGAGAGGAGCCGAGAGGUCUCUCCCAACACGCAAAAAACACCAGACUGCAGCCACUUGUCACAAGAAAACAGAUCAGGCAACUCCUCCGCCCACAGUUCUCCAGAGUUUGCAGCUACAAAGAACAGUCUGGCGAUGUGUUGCAGGGCGCCUUCCAUCCCCGAGGCUCAGGACCUGUCUCGCUCCUCCUCCAAUGCCAGCAGUUUCACCAGCGUUGUGGAGGAGCACGAGGCCGAGGAAGAAUAUGAAACUGGACUGGAAAGCGUGUCAUGUGUUACCCCAGUUAAAAAAGACUCAUUUGUUUAUGGUUCUGCGGCAGAGGACAGCUCGUGCAGCCAAGGCGGUUUUUCAGUAGCUUCUCGUCUUCAGCAGCAGAUGGACGUAGUGAAGACAUCAGAGUCAAAAGGGACGGACAGUCAGACCAAGACAGAGCGCCCCCAGCAGGAGCAGAGGCUCUAAUCGAACUGUUAGCUGCUCUGGUCUGAUCACCACACUGGCAUCCAUUUUCAGCGAUGUCAUUAAAUAUACAAGGAGAAAUAAAGACAACUCAAGGAGGGCAAGUGAAGUAAAAGACUGAUGCAGAGAAGAAACAGUUGGGCCUGACCAAGAGACUGACAGAUCCUCCCUUGAAUGUUCAACAAACAUCGUCUGUUUGCCACGACAGACAUCCAGCUCUCCGGACAUGUAUUGACCUCUCGCCCUCAUUCUGUCCUCCAUGUGGAAAACCUUGUGUUCAAGUUAAGGCAGCACCAUCGAAACUGACAGUCAUCUGGCAGCUGGUUUAACACAGUAAAUCUGCUCACCUGCUCAUUCUUCAGGCCAGUAAGCAUUGAUUGUUACUGUAAACAAACUGAGACACUGUGGCUCUUCUUUAAAUGAUCUACAUUUGAACUGGGAUUUUUCUUUUGUCAAUAAGAACAUAGUAUAACAAAA